rnacentral:miRNA from 1 species
UGUCUGGGACCCCGAUUCUCU